UCCAUUACACUUUGGAGCCCAAACCCAUGCCAUAUGUUAGUGUGACUCGGCUCUCACAUCAAAUCGAAGACCAACCAGACGACGCCACAUGUACAAAUGAUGUGAAAAUCUCAUUCAAAUUCAAGAACUAGUUGAAAGUUGCCAAGUAUCAACGUGACACAUUUUGGCCAAUCAUAAGCAACCAGGCCUAUUCUCUGAAGUCUACAACUAUAAA
rnacentral:lncRNA from 1 species